rnacentral:rRNA from 1 species
ACACUCCUGCGGGAGGCAGCAGUGGGGAAUAUUGCACAAUGGGCGCAAGCCUGAUGCAGCCAUGCCGCGUGUAUGAAGAAGGCCUUCGGGUUGUAAAGUACUUUCAGCGGGGAGGAAGGCAAUACGGUUAAUAACCGUGUUGAUUGACGUUACCCGCAGAAGAAGCACCGGCUAACUCCGUGCCAGCAGCCGCGGUAAUACGGAGGGUGCAAGCGUUAAUCGGAAUUACUGGGCGUAAAGCGCACGCAGGCGGUCUGUCAAGUCGGAUGUGAAAUCCCCGGGCUCAACCUGGGAACUGCAUUCGAAACUGGCAGGCUUGAGUCUUGUAGAGGGGGGUAGAAUUCCAGGUGUAGCGGUGAAAUGCGUAGAGAUCUGGAGGAAUACCGGUGGCGAAGGCGGCCCCCUGGACAAAGACUGACGCUCAGGUGCGAAAGCGUGGGGAGCAAACAGGAUUAGAAACCCUUGUAGUCCC